rnacentral:rRNA from 1 species
UACGAAGGGGGCUAGCGUUGUUCGGAAUCACUGGGCGUAAAGCGCACGUAGGCGGAUCUUUAAGUCAGGGGUGAAAUCCUGGAGCUCAACUCCAGAACUGCCUUUGAUACUGGCAAUCUCGAGUCCGGGAGAGGUGAGUGGAACUCCGAGUGUAGAGGUGAAAUUCGUAGAUAUUCGGAAGAACACCAGUGGCGAAGGCGGCUCACUGGCCCGGUACUGACGCUGAGGUGCGAAAGCGUGGGGAGCAAACAGG